AUUGAACGCUGGCGGCAUGCUUUACACAUGCAAGUCGAACGGCAGCGCGGGCUUCGGCCUGGCGGCGAGUGGCGAACGGGUGAGUAAUACAUCGGAACGUGCCCAGUAGUGGGGGAUAGCUCGGCGAAAGCCGGAUUAAUACCGCAUACGACCUGAGGGUGAAAGCGGGGGAUCUUCGGACCUCGCGCUAUUGGAGCGGCCGAUGGCAGAUUAGCUAGUUGGUGGGGUAAAGGUCUACCAAGGCGACGAUCUGUAGCUGGUCUGAGAGGACGACCAGCCACACUGGGACUGAGACACGGCCCAGACUCCUACGGGAGGCAGCAGUGGGGAAUUUUGGACAAUGGGCGAAAGCCUGAUCCAGCAAUGCCGCGUGUGUGAUGAAGGCCUUCGGGUUGUAAAGCACUUUUGGCGGGAACGAAAAGGACUGUGCCAAUACCACGGUUCGAUGACGGUACCCGCAGAAUAAGCACCGGCUAACUACGUG
rnacentral:rRNA from 1 species